AACGAACGCUGGCGGCAUGCCUAACACAUGCAAGUCGAACGAGACCUUCGGGUCUAGUGGCGCACGGGUGCGUAACGCGUGGGAACCUGCCCUUAGGUUCGGAAUCACUCCCCGAAAGGGGUGCUAAUACCGGAUAAUGUCUUCGGACCAAAGAUUUAUCGCCUUUGGGUGGGCCCGCGUUGGAUUAGCCAGUUGGUAGUGUAAAAGCCUACCAAGGCGACGAUCCAUAGCUGGUCUGAGAGGAUGAUCAGCCACACUGGGACUGAGACACGGCCCAGACUCCUACGGGAGGCAGCAGUGGGGAAUAUUGGACACUGGGCGAAAGCCUGAUCCAGCAAUGCCGCGUGAGUGAUGAAGGCCUUAGGGUUGUAAAGCUCUUUUACCCGAGAUGAUAAUGACAGUACCGGGAGAAUAAGCUCCGGCUAACUCCGUG
rnacentral:rRNA from 1 species